GGCUGACUAGCUCAGUUGGUAGAGCAUGAGACUCUUAAUCUCAGGGUCAUGAGUUCGAGCCCCACGUUGGACG
rnacentral:tRNA from 1 species